AGUUAAAGCCGGGGGAAUGGCAAAAUCCCAGCAAACAGCCGCAGUAGUCAACUCAGAAGAAAACAGCCGAGAGAGAGAAGAAGAAGGAGAG